UACGUAGGCAGCAAGCGUUGUUCGGAAUUACUGGGCGUAAAGAGUGUGUAGGCGGUGCUCUAAGUUCGGUGUGAAAUCUCCCGGCUUAACUGGGAGGGUGCGCCGGAAACUGGAGUGCUUGAGCGCGGGAGAGGAAAGCGGAAUUCCGGGUGUAGCGGUGGAAUGCGUAGAGAUCCGGAAGAACACCGGUGGCGAAGGCGGCCUGCUGGGCAGUGGCUGACGCUGAGGCGCGACAGCGUGGGGAGCAAACAGG
rnacentral:rRNA from 1 species